rnacentral:rRNA from 2 species
UAAUACGAAGGGCCCGAGCGUUGCGCGGAAUCACUGGGCUUAAAGCGUACGUAGGCGGACAUGCAGGCAUCUUGUGAAAUCCCUCGGCUCAACCGAGGAACUGCAGGGUGAACCGCAUGUCUUGAGGUGGGUAGGGGCUGUCGGAACGAUAGGUGGAGCGGUGAAAUGCGUUGAUAUCUAUCGGAACGCCAAAGGCGAAGGCAGACAGCUGGGCCUAUUCUGACGCUGAGGUACGAAAGCGUGGGGAGCGAACGGGAUUAGAUACCCCGGUAGUCCACGCCGUAAACGAUGUGCACUAGAUCGAGGGAGUUCUGACACUAUUCUCGGUCGAAGCAAAAGUGUUAAGUGCACCGCCUGGGGAGUACGGUCGCAAGGCUA